GAAGACUUUUUUAGAUUUGAAGAGAAGGAUCAUAUGCAGGGCUUAAACAACAGACUUGCAGGAUACAUUGAUAAGGUUCGUCAACUGCAAACAGAGAAUAGAAGGAUGACAAGACAGGUUGAGGUUAUUGAGAGCUCCCAGAUGAAGGAGAUCGCCAACAUCAAGGCCUUGUAUGGUAACGAAGUACGAGACCUCAAGGUAUUCAUUAUUAUUAUUAUUAGUGUAAUC